rnacentral:rRNA from 1 species
UGGGGAAUUUUGGACAAUGGGCGAAAGCCUGAUCCAGCAAUGCCGCGUGUGUGAAGAAGGCCUUCGGGUUGUAAAGCACUUUUGUCCGGAAAGAAAUCCUUGGCUCUAAUACAGUCGGGGGAUGACGGUACCGGAAGAAUAAGCACCGGCUAACUACGUGCCAGCAGCCGCGGUAAUACGUAGGGUGCAAGCGUUAAUCGGAAUUACUGGGCGUAAAGCGUGCGCAGGCGGUUUGCUAAGACCGAUGUGAAAUCCCCGGGCUCAACCUGGGAACUGCAUUGGUGACUGGCAGGCUAGAGUAUGGCAGAGGGGGGUAGAAUUCCACGUGUAGCAGUGAAAUGCGUAGAGAUGUGGAGGAAUACCGAUGGCGAAGGCAGCCCCCUGGGCCAAUACUGACGCUCAUGCACGAAAGCGUGGGGAGCAAACAGGAUUAGAUACCCUGGUAGUCCACGCCCUAAACGAUGUCAACUAGUUGUUGGGGAUUCAUUUCCUUAGUAACGUAGCUAACGCGUGAAGUUGACCGCCUGGGGAGUACGGUCCGCAAGAUUAAAACUCAAAGGAAUUGACGGGGUCAUAGCUGUUUCCU